ACAGAUGGGAAACCUGAGGCCAAAAGGGAUUCUGUGACUUGUCCAAGCUCACACAAAUGCAUACCUGUUUUUGACUUUUUUUUAAUUUUAUUUUUUAUGUGGACCAUUUUUAAAGUCUUUUUUGAAUUUGUUACAAUAUUGCUUCUGUUUUAUGUUUUGGUGUUUUGGUCGUGAGGCAUGUAGGAUCUUAGCUCCCCAACCAGGGAUUGAACCCAUUUUCCCCGCAUUGGAAGAUGAAGUCCCAACCACUGGACUGCCAAGGAAGGCCCUGUUUUUGAGGUAUAUUUUUAUGUGGAAGUUUUAUAUUUCCCCCCCAUGACUUGAUGAGUGAAUGACUCCCCAAAGAUCUCCAGGAAUGCAGUCAAAAGAAAAGCGUGACUCAAGAGGAAGAGGAGAGGAUUGAGGAUUGGGAAUUAUGGGCUGCAUUUAGUCUCACUAUUGA